AACAUAUUUUAAAAACAUCUUCUAGUAUACCAGCUGGGACGCGAUCUUGAUAAAUGUGUGCCUGGCGCAAAUGGCUGGAAGUAGAUGAACUGAUGUAAAUAUACAAUCUCGCCCCUUUAUAAUCCGGACGGCUGCGAAAACUUAUGGGCUGUCCGGUUCGCUUUGGGGAAACAUGU
rnacentral:snoRNA from 1 species